AGUUCCUCACCCCCGAAAACCCCGGAAGCAACCCUCCUCCGUCGGAAAAUCCUCGCCGGCAGCCUUGGGAAGUGUCGCGUGAGCAGCGACUUUCCGGCUCCGAUCCGCCGCCUUCCGGCCACUUUCCGGUCAAAACUCUUGUACUUCCGGACUCCUCGCAACUCGAGCUUCGCAUAGGCGCUUCCGGAUUCGAAUUCCGACACCGUUGGCAGGAUCGGUUUCCGGACCCUGUGUUUUCCGGACGCCUGAAAUAUUUCAAUUUUUAUCUGGAUAAUCCAGCCUUCUCACCAGCUCCACCCGAGGCGUAGGAGCGGACUGUGGAACGCGUUAGAUCUGUGGCAAUUAAAGACCUUCGCCAUCGCACAUUUGAUAGUCCGACUUUUUCUUCUUCGGACUUUUGUAAUUACCUUGUAUUUCUAUACUUGUCAUUAUUUACUCUAAAGUAUCCGCAGUAGGAAAUUUUAAAAUUGAUAUAACUAUUCUGACUCAUGUUGGAAGUAUGAUGAUUUAUUUAUGCAAGACAAUUAUGACUA